AGAUUCGCGGCGCUGGAGGUGAGUAGUGGCAACGCUGCGCUCCUGUCCCCUGCAGGGACGAUCUGGGGCGCCUGAACUCCGACUCUACCCUGAGCCAACAGGGUGCCCAGCCUCACACUCUUGGCGCGUGCUGGAGCGCACGGCGACACUGGCCCUGAGAUUGCCCUGGGAAGGUCCGUGGGGUUGCCUUGGCUAGCAGUCGCCUGGGAUCACCGCUGGCGCUCGAGGGGGCGGCGCCUCCCGACCUGGAGUGGGGCGCGCUGGUCCUUUGAUACUAAGCCGUCCUUUCGGAGCCGGAGUGCAGUGCAGUGCAGUGCAGCGCCCUUUUCCGAGGCGUCCCAGGCCUGGAAUGCUUCCGUGUGACGCUAUUUCUUGAGAGGCAAGAACAAGCAUCUACUUAUCCCAGCUAGGGAACUACUGACAGUCCAAGAAUGAUUGUGGUCAUCCUGGACGGACUGCCGAGCCACUGAAUUACACCCAUCUUCUGGCCACACUACAGAAGUUGUCUAUGGAGUUGAAAUGUUUAUUGCAGUAACCUCUGACCUUACGUGAUUUAAGGUGGAGAGCCUUUGGGAACUUGCUGCAUGACAUUCGCACAAGUCGUCACUGUUUGCUGUGUCCCUCCUUGGAUUUGAGCCAGCAUGGCUUAUACCACAAAAGUUAAUGGCUGUGCUGCAGAAAAAGCAGACGGAGUUCUGAAUGGAGACCAUAACAAGGAAAAGAAAGACCCGUAUUUUGUGGAAACCCCUUACGGUUUUCAGCUAGACUUAGAUUUCGUCAAAUACGUGGAUGACAU
rnacentral:lncRNA from 1 species